ensembl:miRNA aca-mir-181b-1 aca-mir-181b-1
AUAACGGCUGCAAUCAACAUUCAUUGCUGUCGGUGGGUUUUAGGUUCAGUCAGCUCUCUGACCAAUGAAUGCAAACUGCAGACCAGA